rnacentral:rRNA from 1 species
UGGGGAAUAUUGGACAAUGGGGGCAACCCUGAUCCAGCCAUGCCGCGUGAGUGAUGAAGGCCUUCGGGUUGUAAAGCUCUUUUGGCGGGGACGAUGAUGACGGUACCCGCAGAAUAAGCCCCGGCUAACUUCGUGCCAGCAGCCGCGGUAAGACGAAGGGGGCUAGCGUUGUUCGGAAUUACUGGGCGUAAAGCGCGUGUAGGCGGUUGCCAAAGUCGGGUGUGAAAGCCUUGAGCUCAACUCAAGAAAUGCACUCGAUACUUGGUGACUAGAGGACCGGAGAGGAUAGUGGAAUUCCCAGUGUAGUGGUGAAAUACGUAGAGAUUGGGAAGAACACCAGUGGCGAAGGCGGCUAUCUGGACGGUUUCUGACGCUAAGACGCGAAAGCGUGGGGAGCAAACAGGAUUAGAUACCCUGGUAGUCCACGCCGUAAACGAUGGGUGCUAGACGUUGGCGAGCUUGCUCGUCAGUGUCGCAGCUAACGCGUUAAGCACCCCGCCUGGGGAGUACGGCCGCAAGGUUGA